rnacentral:lncRNA from 1 species
CACAGGCCCAAUUCCCAAUCGCCAAGAAAAUCUUCAAAAGCCCCUAAAUCCCUCACCAUUCGCCGGAGCUCCGGCGACUCGAUUGCCGGUAAUCUAAACUCGAUUGCCGGUACGAAGAUAAGUAGAAAAGGGGUCUCUCUCAAAUUCUCCAAUGGCGGCGCUUCCGUUGAUGAAACUUAUAAGACUUAAAGGAGUGCCAAUACUGCAGCAACUUCACCUAGAGGAGCGUUUGCUUCGUACUUCUCC